UACGAAGGGGGCUAGCGGUGUUCGGAAUUACUGGGCGUAAAGGGCGCGUAGGCGGCGCGUUAAGUCAGGUGUGAAAGCCCUGGGCUCAACCCAGGAACUGCACUUGAUACUGACGUGCUUGAAUCCGGAAGAGGUUGAUGGAAUUCCCAGUGUAGAGGUGAAAUUCAUAGAUAUUGGGAAGAACACCAGUGGCGAAGGCGGUCCACUGGUCCGUUACUGACGCUGAGGUGCGACAGCGUGGGGAGCAAACAGG
rnacentral:rRNA from 1 species